AUAUCCUGCACUAUAAACCCAUCAAAGUUUCUCAUUCACUUGAAAUAGGUGCCAAAUUCUCUGAGCCCACCCAGUGUUUCGCCGGCGGUAUGCCUGCGCAGCCUCGCAUAUGAGUACCUCAAUGCUGUACUGAUUGCUUUGACCUAUCAUGGGAACAGAAAAGUAGCACUAACAUACGUGCGGGCAUCACAUUUGGCGGUAGGCUGGAAGAUAUGCUACAAGUACGCUGUAUUACUAAUCGACGCUGGCAAUAAUGCGUCUGAAACGUCUGAAGGGCCCUGUAACGGCUUUUACAAACAGCGCAUUCAUGUUAGCGUUCCAGUCUCAUACGAUAGCCCACAGCGUUUGUCAUGCAACCUGCCAGCGCAUUUCCUUCGUCCAUGAAAAAAGAUGAAUUAUGGUGAUAAAGAUGCAUAAGCCACCCGUUCCGGAGCGCAUGGCGCGCAGGGAGAGAGAGAAAGAGACAAAAAAAAAAUGAAGGAAAAGGCGCUCACACUCUUCCGAGCGCGCACGCCCUCGGGCGCGGAGCUCCUGCGCAUGCUCGGAGCUCUUGCGCAUGCGCGGCGGUGCGUCGUCUCAACGAGUGCGCCAGGCACGUAAACGGUUGUAUCGGUGUGCGGUGUCUGCCUGAACGUUGGUGUCUGUGUAUGCGUGUCUUCUUUGUGGCAUCACACGUCAACUACACCGGACGCAUACACCUGCAGCACCUUUGGGACUAAUGACACAAAGGUCAAGGCCAGCCUGGCGACCAUGCUUGCCAAGGAGUAGUGUAAAUAUUUAAUCUGUUUCCAUAAUAGCAUAAGACAUGAAUUUAAGGAAUUCAUCUAUUAUAUCCAGCAAUAAAAACUGUUAAUGCA